rnacentral:rRNA from 1 species
GUAGUCAUAUGCUUGUCUCAAAGAUUAAGCCAUGCAUGUCUAAGUAUAAACGACUUUAUUCAGUGAAACUGCGAAUGGCUCAUUAUAUCAGUUAUAAUUUAUUUGAUAGUACCUUUUUACUUGGAUAACUGUGGUAAUUUUAGAGCUAAUACAUGCAACAUAACCCGACUUUUGGAAGGGUUGUAUUUAUUAGAUAAAAAACCAAUGUGGGCAACCCCUUUCUGGUGAUUUAUAGUAACUUAUUGAAUUGCAUGGCCUUGCGCUGGCGAUGGUUCAUUCAAAUUUUUGCCCUAUCAACUUUUGAUGGUAGGAUAGAGGCCUACCAUGGUUUUUACGGGUAACGGAGAAUUUGGGUUUGAUUCCGGAGAGGGAGCCUGAGAAACGGCUACCACAUCCAAGGAAGGCAGCAGGCGCGCAAAUUACCCAAUGGGAAUACCCCGAGGUAGUGACAAUAAAUAACAAUGCAGAGCCAUAUUGGUUUUGCAAUUGGAAUGAAAGGAAUUUAAAUCCCUUAACGAGGAACAAUUGGAGGGCC